rnacentral:rRNA from 1 species
CCCUUAGAUGUUCUGGGCCGCACACGCGCUACACUGAAGGAGGCAGCGUGUACUCCUGGAUCGAAAGAAUUGGGUAACCCCCUAAUCUCUUUCGUGCUGGGGAUUGAGGUUUGCAAUUAUCCUUCAUGAACGAGGAAUUCCCAGUAAGUGCGAGUCAUUAUCUCGCGCUGACUACGUCCCUGCCCUUUGUACACACCGCCCGUCGCUACUACCGAUUGAAUGAUUUAGUGAGGACUUCGGACUGAGUCCAAUGCGGCUUUCGGGCUGCGUUGGUAUUUCGGAAAGAUGUCCAAACUGUAUCAUUUAGAGGAAGUAAAAGUCGUAACA